rnacentral:lncRNA from 1 species
UUUUUUUCUUUUUUUUUUAUUUCCUUUGGUGGCAAGAAGGUUUUCAGCUUAAUUUUCCAGAAUCCUUAGUGUUUGACUCUGUCCUUUCUGAAGUACAUGACAGCAUAGCUUACACCAGUCAAAAUUUGCUAGGUUACUUUUCAAAUUGAUCUUGCAUUCCUUGCUGUCUUCUUGAAAUCUCUAAUAUUUGAGUUAACAGUGUUUAACUUUUUUCUACUAAUUUUUACUUCAAAAAUAUCAGGAAUGUAAUAUUAGCUUUUAAAUAGUUUAUGCAAAUGACUUUAGAUAAGUAACAGAAAAAUUAAUCACGUAGUGUCUCACUUUCUUUAAAAGAGAAAGAAAUAAGAGCAUCAAUUUCUUUCUCUGAGAUUUCUCUAAGAUGAAGCCAGGAAGUGUUACUGGAAAAAGAAAGCAAACUUUUCCCAGAAAUUUAAAUUUCAGAUGUUCUUGUCCAAAGGAUGAAAUGUAAGAAAGAAUGAUCUCAUUUUACAAUUGAUUGUAACAGUACAGGGUGAAUCUCUGCACUCUUUUUUGUGUCUUUUUAAGAUCUAGUAAAUGUCUAGGAAUGUCUAGAGGAACAAACAGCACACCAUUUUCAAGAUGGGGCCCUGCUGAGAAUACUCAGGCAGGUUUUUGCUUUGUGACCUAUUGCUUUCUGAAUCACACUACCUUGUUUUACUUUCACAACCAUUCUUGAGCCGUUGUUCGUGUGAAACUGUAUGUCAAAACACCAGGAAUGCUCUGCAGAGGAAAAAUGCAAGACCACCACUGCAUGCAUAAAGGAUUUCUCCCUCCAGCUGUGUCAUCAUAAGAUUUGUCAUCUUUUAAACCACCUAGAGGCAUCACUUUCUAGCAGCAUCACUUUCUAAGUCCCUAUCCUAUAGAAUUGCCUUGGCUGUGGCACAAGGGAACACCAGGAGGUUGUGGAUGGGGAGCAGUGGAAACAACACGUGACUACUACAGGCAAGCUCCCCAUCUAGCUCCUGUGACAGUAGACUACUGUGAGGCCUGACAUCUGCUCAGCCAUAAAAGAUAAUUUUGCAGAGUCCAAAUGAUUACUGGAAGAUGAGACAAGAUCCAGUGACUUAAAAAUUGCAGAUGGCCUGAAGCCCUCAUGCAGGCCAAAUUCAACUUGCAGCUUUUGAGAGCAACAGCUUGCAGAAUAGAGUUCUUUGCCAAUAGAUUUACCAGAUAAAAAUUACUUCUUCGAAGUGAGAGGGCUGCACACUUUUUCUCACAUCAUUUCAGUUGUUUAG